UGAACGCUAGCGGCAGGCUUAACACAUGCAAGUCGAGGGGUAUCACGCUUUCGGGCGUGAGAGACCGGCGCACGGGUGCGUAACGCGUAUGCAAUCUACCUUUUGCAGAGGGAUAGCCCAGAGAAAUUUGGAUUAAUACCUCAUAGUAUAGAACAAUCGCAUGAUUGAACUAUUAAAGUCACAACGGCAAAAGAUGAGCAUGCGUCCCAUUAGUUAGUUGGUAAGGUAACGGCUUACCAAGACUACGAUGGGUAGGGGUCCUGAGAGGGAGAUCCCCCACACUGGUACUGAGACACGGACCAGACUCCUACGGGAGGCAGCAGUGAGGAAUAUUGGACAAUGGGCGCAAGCCUGAUCCAGCCAUGCCGCGUGCAGGAAGAAGCAUCUAUGGUGUGUAAACUGCUUUUGUACGGGAAGAAACACUCCUACGUGUAGGAGCUUGACGGUACCGUAAGAAUAAGGAUCGGCUAACUCCGUGC
rnacentral:rRNA from 1 species